rnacentral:rRNA from 1 species
GAUGAACGCUGGCGGCGUGCCUAAUACAUGCCAGUCGAGCGAACGGACGAGAAGCUUGCUUCUCUGAUGUUAGCGGCGGACGGGUGAGUAACACGUGGAUAACCUACCUAUAAGACUGGGAUAACUUCGGGAAACCGGAGCUAAUACCGGAUAAUAUUUUGAACCGCAUGGUUCAAAAGUGAAAGACGGUCUUGCUGUCACUUAUAGAUGGAUCCGCGCUGCAUUAGCUAGUUGGUAAGGUAACGGCUUACCAAGGCAACGAUGCAUAGCCGACCUGAGAGGGUGAUCGGCCACACUGGAACUGAGACACGGUCCAGACUCCUACCGGAGGCAGCAGUAGGGAAUCUUCCGCAAUGGGCGAAAGCCUGACGGAGCAACGCCGCGUGAGUGAUGAAGGUCUUCGGAUCGUAAAACUCUGUUAUUAGGGAAGAACAUAUGUGUAAGUAACUGUGCACACCUUGACGGUACCUAAUCAGAAAGCCACGGCUAACUACGUG